GACGGAAAUCCUUAUAAGGUUACAAGCACAGCCACGUGUUAGACUCAAUAUGCUUCCAGGUAAUGGCUUUCUCUUAUCUCCGAUAAUAAAUUUGCUUUUUCCCACUGCUAAGCCAGUGGGGCUAUAUCUCCCGCUGCUCUCUAGUUCCACAUCAGCUACUUUCCUUCUCCAGAGUACCAGCUUGUUCCACUUAAACCUGAAGACCCUUGUUGCAAAGCCCCGUUGGUGGAUCAUCCUCAUGAAAGCAAGCGAAUAAGUCUGGAAACAGUUUCAGAUAUUUUAUCUGCAAUCCAACCACAAGACAAUUUAAGAGAGUUUCAUUUCCUAGUAGUGAAUUUGAGGAUCGUUUGAUUUCAUUGAACUUGGCAUUUCUAUCAUCUCACUUCACGAUCAAUUCCUUUAGGAAGAAGAUAUAUAAGACGACUUUUCUGAUUGACUUGUACUCUCCCGGGGCAGAUUUUGGAGCUGGAGUUUACUUACUAUAAGGGAGCGAGCGAUUCAUUGGUGCAGUGAGUGCCUCAGCUUCACUAUAUUUUGAUGUUGAGAGAGAGUGGUUAAACACAAUGCGAAUGCCUCCAGUCUCUAGGAGUAGGAACCCUCAGGAGAUGCCCUACUUUGGGGGGUACUCUCUUCGUCAUUUGCAUUAGAAUUUGAUGUUUUAAAGAUGGCAGGUGAUCCUUCUCGUUGGUUUGUGAUGAAUCAUGUCAAUCUCGAUCCCGUGAAAGCUGCAUUUCCUCAGAUAAUUUGGCAAGGUGAAGACGAAGUAUCAGAGAAGAAAGAGAAAGAAUCAACCCUAAUGAUAUUCGCUGAUGGUAGAGCCAUGUCAUAUAAUUUUAACAAUGGGACAUCAAUGGAGCUUUGUGAUUUAAAGCCAAAACGCUUCACCAGCCACUGCUGCAUUAAUCUAUGAACAGGGUAAUGCCUGUCAAUAUUUUGGAAGUCUUUACUUUUUAAAGGCAAAAUUGGUAUUAUCUUCCCAUCUCUUUUGAAAUUACGUCUUGUUCCUGCAGUAUGGAAUACGUUUGCUAUAGUUGGGACUAUGUUGUUGUUAAUUAGCAUCUAGUUUGGUAGCGUUGAUUUGCUGGUUUUAUGUUCAUUUCCAAUUAUGUAAGUAACAUGUUCUAUAGUUCAUCUUGCAUAUUAUGGGUUCAGUUGCAUAUACUAACAUGCUCGAUAGUUCAUCUGGUUGACAGGCUUUUUUAGUAGACAUUUUUAAUGGCUUUGCUCAUAUGAUCUUCAUUAGCUGAUGCUUCAGUGGAUUUGUGCAUGUAGCGUAUGCUUGUUUUUAAGUAAAACAUGACUUCAAAUUUGACAGUGUGCUGGAUACAACAUAUAAGAAUUCCUGUGAUUUGUGUUGAUAAAACGCAACACUAAUUUGAGUGAAACCUAAUGUUACAUGAGGCAUGGGAAACUACCUUUACAUUGGAGGCACACCCUCUAGUUAGCAUUGUUCCCU
rnacentral:lncRNA from 1 species